rnacentral:lncRNA from 1 species
GGGAGUUUCCCUACACAAGCUCUCUUUUUUCUCCUGCUGCCAUCCACGUAAGAUGUGACUUGCUCCUCCUUGCCUUCCACCAUGAUUGUGAGGCCUCCCCAGCCAUGUGGAACUAAUUUGUGCCCAAGGCAGGCUGUCACUGAGUGCUCCUUGGAUCUCCGCCGCCUGGUACCCAAGGAAUUGUCCCAAGGCUCUGAAGAGAAUGUCCCAUGACUUCUUUGUGACUAAACCAGAAAUACUGAUGUCUUUUGUUCCUAACAUAAACAACGUUAAACAAGCCCAAAAUGUGUACAGUCAAUGUUAAUACCACACAAGGGAAGGG